GGUGAGGUCAAUAUAGAACUUCUAAUCUACAGAAUGGUAAGAUAAUAAAUUUGUAUUGUUUUAAGCCACUAAGUUUGUGGUAAUUUGUUA